rnacentral:rRNA from 1 species
AGGAUAAACGCUGGCGGCGUGCCUAACACAUGCAAGUCGAACGCGCUUUCGGGCUUCGGUGCGAGAGCGAGUGGCGGACGGGUGAGUAACACAUGGGUACCUACCUUGGAGUGAGGGAUACCGGCGAGAAAUCGCCGACAAUACCGCAUAGGCUUCUUCACAAGGGAAGCAAAGUGACGCGAGUCACGCUGUGAGAUGGGCCUGUGGCCGAUUAGCUAGUUGGGGGGGUAACGGCUUCCCAAGGCGACGAUCGGUAGCUGGUCUGAGAGGACGAUCAGCCACACUGGGAUUGAGAACGGCCCAGACUCCUACGGGGGCAGCAGUGAGGAAUUUUCCGCAAUGGAGGCAACUCUGACGGAGCAACGCCGCGUGCAGGAGGAAGGUUUUCGGAUCGUAAACUGCUUUUCUCGGGGACGAGGCAAGGACGGUACCCGAGGAAGAAGCCCCGGCUAACUACGCGCCAGCAGCCGC